GUCUACAGCAAUGCUACCCUGAAUAAGCCUGAUCCCAUCUGAUAUCAGAAGCUAAGCAGAGUUAGGCUUGGUUAAUAUUUGGAUGGGAGACCACCUAAGAAGACCAGGUGCUAUAGGCG
rnacentral:rRNA from 1 species